ncrna:unclassified sequences pemK RNA
ACAAUGAUACUUCCGUCCAGUCAUAGAAACAAGCAAUGAGGGCGGCUUCGGGAGAACCUCGGAGGGAUGAGAUUUUCAUGA